UGUUUAUUUUUUUAUAUUAUUGCCCACAUCUCAUUUGCUGUGAACAUGACCACAAAAUAUUUUUCCCAUUAGGUUUUCUUUCUGCUAUAUUGCUAACAUUUGGCCUAUUGGGAACAUUU